rnacentral:rRNA from 1 species
UACGGGGGGGGGCAAGCGUUGUUCGGAAUUACUGGGCGUAAAGCGUGCGUAGUCGGUUAUUUAAGUCGGGCGUGAAAGCCCCGGGCUCAACCUGGGAACUUGCGUUCGAUACUGGAUAGCUAGAGUUCGGCAGAGGGAAGCGGAAUUUCUGGUGUAGCGGUGAAAUGCGUAGAUAUCAGAAGGAACAUCAGUGGCGAAAGCGGCUUCCUGGACCAGAACUGACGAUCAGGCACGGAAAGCGUGGGGAGCAAACAGG